UAUUGUCAGUGAAUCACAGCCCUUUUGGUCCGUUGUAGAAACGCUGCCAAAUAUCCAGAAGCUAAAACC